AUGAGAGAUCUGAAAAUACAUAGCACAUCGUAUGUCCACAGUUGUGAUGAUGGUAGGUGCAGAGUCUUGGCCUGUUCAUUACAUAAUUUGAAAGCAUGUAGAGCUUCAGGUUUAUGGUUCAGUAUAUCAUUGCAAAGUAGUUUAUGGCUCAGUAUAUCACUGCAGGUUCCUUACACCGUCAAAUUUCAAUGUUUUUGUAUUUUUGUCGAUGGAACCAUGUUCUUUGACUAUAAAGUAGCAGAGAUUUAUUUUCUUAUCAACUCUAAUCCCUUUUUGAUGCAUUGCAGGUUUGCUAUCAAACUCUCAAAAAAGAAAAAACAACUUUACUCUGUUUUUUGGAGAACCUUCCUGUAG
rnacentral:rRNA from 1 species